UACGUAGGGGGCUAGCGUUGUCCGGAAUCAUUGGGCGUAACGAGCGUGUAGGCGGUCCGGUAAGUCCGUUGUGAAAGUCAGGGGCUCAACCCUUGAAUGCCGGCGGAUACUGUCGGGCUAGAGUCCGGAAGAGGCAAGUGGAAUUCCCGGUGUAGCGGUGAAAUGCGCAGAUAUCGGGAGGAACACCUAUGGCGAAGGCAGCUUGCUGGGACGGUACUGACGCUGAGACGCGAAAGCGUGGGGAGCAAACAGG
rnacentral:rRNA from 1 species